UACGAAGGGGGCUAGCGUUGUUCGGAAUUACUGGGCGUAAAGGGCGCGUAGGCGGGAUGGCAAGUCGGUCGUGAAAUCCCUCGGCUCAACCGAGGAACGUCGAUCGAUACUGCUGUUCUUGAGGAUUGCAGAGGAGACUGGAAUUCCCGGUGUAGCGGUGAAAUGUGUAGAGAUCGGGAGGAACACCAGAGGCGAAGGCGGCCUACUGGGCUGCACCUGACGCUGAGCCGCGAAAGCCAGGGGAGCGAACGGG
rnacentral:rRNA from 1 species